rnacentral:lncRNA from 1 species
CCAGCCAGUUGAACAUCUACACCUCACAAUCAUUCCAUACACCAAACAUAGUGGACCUAUUGCAUAGAGUAUCAGAAAAAUAAACCAAAGCACACAAACUAAACUAUUACAACUGAAACAUGAAAAUGAGGCCAUAGUCAGAUGACACUUGUCAGUUGAACAUGUACACCUUAUAAUCGUUCCAUAUGCCAAAUAUAGAAGAC